rnacentral:lncRNA from 1 species
GUUUUUUAUCUGCAGCCAAUCCUAGGGAAGGCAGGAGGACACUCCUCCAAUGGGAGCCCGGGAGCCGUCGGUAGCGGGGUAGGCCUGUGGCCCCGCUAGCGCUCCAGCCAGCGAGAGGGACGCGUCCAGUGUAUUCUGGAGAUCUCGCUGCCAGCCCCUUGUAUCUGUUUGCGUGGCAGCCGCGGCACUGACGGUGGCUACAGGUGUCGGGUCAGCGGGUUGCAGAGGAUCACGCGGGUAGCAAAGGGAGGCCGAGUGCUCCUGCGGCCCCAGAUGGCAACCAGGUGCUGUAAUCUGUCACCUGGUUUCCUUAGCGCUUGUGAAGUAUUUUUCUGCACGGAUAGUUCAAAUUGA